rnacentral:rRNA from 1 species
UACGUAGGGGGCUAGCGUUGUCCGGAAUCACUGGGCGUAAAGCGCACGUAGGCGGACUCUUAAGUCGGUGGUGAAAUCCUGGAGCUCAACUCCAGAACUGCCUUCGAUACUGGGAGUCUCGAGUCCGGGAGAGGUGAGUGGAACUGCGAAGUGUAGAGGUGAAAUUCGUAGAUAUUCGCAAGAACACCAGUGGCGAAGGCGGCUCACUGGCCCGGUACUGACGCUGAGGUGCGAAAGCGUGGGGAGCCAAACAGG